UGGGGAAUAUUGCACAAUGGGCGAAAGCCUGAUGCAGCAACGCCGCGUGAGUGAUGAAGGCCUUCGGGUUGUAAAGCUCUGUCUUUUGGGACGAUAAUGACGGUACCAAAGGAGGAAGCCACGGCUAACUACGUGCCAGCAGCCGCGGUAAUACGUAGGUGGCAAGCGUUGUCCGGAUUUACUGGGCGUAAAGGAUGCGUAGGCGGAUUUUUAAGUGAGAUGUGAAAACCCUAAGCUUAACUUGGGGACUGCAUUUCAUACUGGAAAUCUAGAGUGCGGGAGAGGAGAAUGGAAUUCCUAGUGUAGCGGUGAAAUGCGUAGAGAUUAGGAAGAACACCAGUGGCGAAGGCGAUUCUCUGGACCGUAACUGACGCUGAGGCAUGAAAGCGU
rnacentral:rRNA from 1 species